rnacentral:lncRNA from 7 species
GGGUGUACCAGUGGAUGAGUCACUGUGCCUCAUGUGUUUUCUCUGCUUUUCUUCUGCCGGAGUGUGCUGUAGCCCUGGGUUUGCCCCAUGCAGCAUAAGGCAUUACAAAGACUUUUUCUCAUAGUCAGUUUUGUGUGUGCCAUGGUGUCAGUGAAGACUCUACUGAGCUGAAGUAUUGAACUGUGGUCUGUGCCCUCUUAAUGGCCGAAGGCCCCCAUGAUGGCCCACAUCCACAUCCCAUCCUGAGAAUUCUGACUAUCUGGUAGCCGUGGCACGAAUGGCAAGAGAACAGGAUGCAUGUUGGGAUGCUAGCAUGCUAGCAGCUAGCUGCAUGCAACCAUCUUUUAUAGACAAAAGUAUCCUGCUUUCCAGCCCAGCCCAGAGAGCUAUGCUUUGACUGUGGUCCUGCUGUUCAUGGACCAUGUAUACCUGGCUGAGGAGAGGGCUCCUGAAGAGGAAAGUUCAUUUGGAGGUGGUCUGCAGGUAAAUCACUGAGCUACAGAAGGAUCCCGAAGAAUACAGGGGAACAGAAGUUCUAACAGUUAUUUACAACAAAUCCACACACUUUUUUUCCCAGGUAGUUUAAUUUUACAGGCUGAUAUCCACCACUUGAAGUCUGUCUCUCCACCAUACCUUUCUGGGUGAAAAAAGUUCCUCCACAGAGAGGUCCAAAUUCCAACACCAGAUUCUAGAAAUACUGCUUAGAAGAGAUCUCCAGAGACCAUCCAAUUCAGACUCCUGCUGAAAAUGAGAGUAUUGCCCAACAGAAGACAAGGUCAGCCAUGGAUUUAUCCAGCCAAGCCUUGAAAACCUCUAAGGCUGCAACAGCGUUUCUGGACGGUCAUUUCCAGCCCCAUGCCAUGUUCCUACUGUAAAAGCUCAUGACAAAU